AUAUCAAGUUGAAACACCGGUUCUCGUACGAUCACUGAAGUUAAGCAACAUCGAGCCUGGUUAGUACCUAGAUGGGUGACCGCUGAGGAACACCAGGUACUGUCAG